rnacentral:rRNA from 1 species
UACGUAGGGUGCGAGCGUUAAUCGGAAUUACUGGGCGUAAAGCGUGCGCAGGCGGUUUUGUAAGCCAGAUGUGAAAUCCCCGGGCUUAACCUGGGAAUGGCAUUUGGGACUGCAAGGCUGGAGUGCGGCAGAGGAGACUGGAAUUCCUGGUGUAGCAGUGAAAUGCGCAGAUAUCAGGAGGAACACCCGUGGCGAAAGCGGCUCUCUGGGGACGGUACUGACGCUGAGACGCGAAAGCGUGGGGAG